AACCCACUUGGUACUUCACACUUAUUUUAUCUUAUACUUAUACCUGUUACGGACAGAACAACCGGAGACAAAGGUGAGGAGACUGAGAGAGUUUAUUAUUACAAGGAGGUAAUAUGGAAUGGAUAUGAGUAGAAAUGAUACCGUCCCUUAUUUCGCUGAUGGUAGAAGGGUUUGGGAACUGGAGCGACACACACAGGAGACCGGAGAUUACUGGAGUCGGGAUUCGGUGAUCGGGGUUCAAAGUGGCGAUAGCCUUGACGUAACGUCGUGGAUGAGUCCGUGGAGUGUUCGAAGGCUUCUCUGUGCUGGACCAUCACUAUGUCAGUGCCUCAUUCCAGAUGUUUUGGUUCUGGAUCUUCAUCCUCCAG